UUCUUUAGCUUACUCCAGCUUAGGUGUUAAUCGAUCGUUUAUGUUAUUGGUAAAGCUUAUGGUCAACUGUAGGCUAUGAGUAGUUAAGUUUCUGGGGAGUCAAAAAUUACAGGCAGGCCAGGCACGGUGGCUCA